rnacentral:lncRNA from 1 species
ACGUUUUGUUUACUCCUGAUCUGGCCUUUAUUUUGAGUAGUAUUCAUCAAAUACUUUAGAAAGAUCCCUUCUCUCUGUUUUUGAACCAUUUCUUCAAAGUUCUUAAUAUAGUUAGACAAAGAAAACAGAAGUUGAAACCAAAGGCAGUUUGACCUAUUUUUUUAGACGCCACUGAUAGAGAAACAUUUCUUUGUGAAAGUGCUGCUUGUAAUGGCAUUCGCCAAGUGCACGCCACCGAGCAGAGCCACCCCACUUUGCAGAGCCACGCUUCCUUCUGUCCCCUGUGGACCUUAACUGAGUACUGAAUUAAAUGCAUUGCUCUGUAUAGGUUCUGCUCAGCUCUGAAGCAGAAGUCACAUAAACAGAGGGAAGCUAUGUGACACACUUAAUCAUUUCAAUUGGAAGGCUGAAAACAGUUCUUUUGACUUUUUUUUUAAUGCAAGCAUAUUAAAACUGUGACUGUCUUUGUUUCUCUGGUUCUUGAAAUACACAUUUCUCUCUUUAUUUAUUAAAUUUUUGUUAGCUUGAGCCCAGUGCUAGGACUAGGCAUCCAGUCUAGUGUGAAUGAAUAUUAUAGUUAUAUCUUGAAUGAGUUCCUCAAAAUGAAGUCAAGAAUUAGCCUCAGUUUUCACUUUUGUUGAAGUUUCAAUGGCCUGAGCUGGGUGCUUGUGGAUUUGGCUGCGUGUUUAAUAGCAACUCGACUACCAUACAGAGCUUCAGAAUGGGAUGUUGGCUCGAGAGCUCUUCCCCUUCCCUCUCUUUUCCUUUCUGUUAACAAAGGGUUGAAGAAAUGGGCAUCUGUAUAGUUUUAGUAGCUAUAAUAUUUGGCCCAACUGAAAUUAGUUUAACAUGCUAAACACGGCUGUGAUUUUAAUUUAGUAACGAGCUACUGUGGUAUAGUAAAACAAACUGAACCGUGAACCUCCAUCCCACAGCUGGAUUAACCUGGCCCUUACCUUGAGGAGUCUACCUUGGUUCCCUCAACCACCAGGGCUGUGGCUCAUGUUCUGAGCUGAGUAGAGACAAUGUGUAAGGAAGCCUGCUGUAGUGCUAGUGGUCUCGUGGUGACCCACCUAUGACAAAAUGCACAUGAACGAGCUGUUUAAAAAGAACAAGUCCU